rnacentral:rRNA from 1 species
UACGAAGGGGGCUAGCGUUGUUCGGAAUCACUGGGCGUAAAGGGCGCGUAGGCGGCCUUCUAAGUCGAACGUGAAAUCCCCGGGCUCAACCCGGGAACUGCGUCCGAUACUGGAAGGCUUGAAUCCGGGAGAGGGAUGCGGAAUUCCCGGUGUAGCGGUGAAAUGCGCAGAUAUCGGGAGGAACACCAAUUGCGAAGGCAGCUCGCUGGGACGUCACUGACGCUGAGACGCGAAAGCGUGGGGAGCAA